CAUCACCGCCACCGCCACCCCCACCCCCAGUCCUUAAAAGUAGCACUGAACAAGGUGCCUUUCUAGUCUCCCUCCCAGGGGAUGCCCGUGCCUACAGUAAAGCGAGAGGCUGGGGUUUUAUCUCAGCCUAAGACCAGUUUCCUUUGCCCCAGGGCUGUAACUGAAACCUGCAGGGCACCUCCCGCCCAUCUCCUCCUUUCAGGCUCUGAGGCCAGGAGAUUAAGAAGUUUGGGGACCGAUCCCCUUUCUCUUCGUUCUGUGCCUCCGUCUCUGUCUCUCUUUCGGGUCUCUCCAUUCUCCAUUUACUUUGGAGGGAGGACAAUGGGAGAGGAAAAUGUCUACGGCUAAUUAAGCAGGAUUCCCCCGCAGGGACAGCACAGCGCAUGAGUGGCCGAGCCGGCAAGGCGGCCCUUUGGCCCUAGUGGGAAGUUUGCUGCCUUUGCUCCUACCGGAUGAAAACAGAAGUUGUGUCAGUAAAGGACGCAGCCAUUUCCAGGGACUUCAAAGACGUUCAUACUGCUUUGAGGACUGGGAUUACAGGGAGACCUUGAGAUCUUGCUGCGAUGGAGCACCAGAAUACUGAGGCAGGCAAGCAGAGGGAAUUCUUUAGCAACCCGUGACUCCACCUGACGUGGGCUUCACACAUGCCUCUUUUCUAACACAGUUCCUGACAACCUACGACCCUCUGCUGCAUGGACUAUGAACAUACUCCUCCCUGAACAAGGCAAAGAACACCCUAGGACCACCACCCUCAUUGAGCCCCAGUUCCUUGAAUAAGAGGCCUAGAACCUGGGAACAACUAGUCUAGAUCCUGACCGAUGGGAACAACACAUCCUUCUCCUAUGUGUUCCUCUGCUCAAACCCAUUGGAGUGACCAGAGGGAUGCUGAGAUGGUCAUGUUGUCCUGCAUGUGAGCAGGAAAUCUGUAUCCUUUCCACCUGCUUCUCUUCAGUCCUAGAAUUAUAUUGAGGGGCGGGAAAACCACAUCCUCAAAAGGGAACUGCUUUGAAGCAAUCAUCAUUAAAGGUUUGAAAAAAACCAAUCUUAAUCUAACAAGGCAAGUUCUUUUUUAACUUUCCUUUGUAUUCUUUGUGUAUUU